GCGGAUGUAGCUCAGUUGGUAGAGCGCCACCCUUCCAGGGUGUUGGUCGCGUGUUCGAUCCUCGCCAUCCGCU
rnacentral:tRNA from 1 species